UACGUAGGGGCCGAGCGUUGUCCGGAGUUAUUGGGCGUAAAGCGCGCGCAGGCGGCCUCGCGCGCCCGACGUGAAAGCCCCCGGCUUAACCGGGGAGGGUCGUUGGGGACGGCGGGGCUUGAGGGCGGGAGAGGUCGGUGGAAUUCCCGGUGUAGUGGUGAAAUGCGUAGAGAUCGGGAGGAACACCUGUGGCGAAGGCGGCCGACUGGGCCGACCCUGACGCUGAGGCGCGAAGGCGUGGGGAGUGAACGGG
rnacentral:rRNA from 1 species